GGCGGGAUAGAGCAGUUGGUAGCUCGCGGUGCUCAUAACUCCGAAGUCGUUGGUUCGAGUCCAACUCCCGCAACA
rnacentral:tRNA from 1 species